UGGGCUUAGUGAACAAGAUGAAGAGUUUUAAGAAACUUUUUGCAAGUAAAUAAAAAACACAUAGCACUGAAUCCAGUUUUAGGAUUGGAGGAAUGGGUUCACUUAAAGUAGUAGAUGUCAUUCCUUCCCCUGAAGAAGACUCGUAAGAAAAUCAAGAAAGCUUUUCAAGGAUUGGGAACAGAUGGGGAGGGGAUACUUGAGAUAUUAGGACGCAGAGAUGCAAGUCAAAGAAAGAAAAUCAGAGAAACUUAUUAGCAGCUUUAUAAUGAAAGUCUCAUUGAUGUUCCAAAUUCUGAACUUUCUGGUGAUUUCAAAGUGAUAUAUCUGGAGAUUACAGAAACUUCUCGGUGACCCUACUUCUGAUUCAUUCUGUCAUGUAUACAGUAUGAAUUCGCGACCAUGGAUUAUUUGUAUUGAU